AAUCAACGCUGGCGGCGUGCCUCAGACAUGCAAGUCGAACGCGAAAGUCCCCUUCGGGGGACAAGUAGAGUGGCGCACGGGUGAGUAACACGUAGGUAAUCUACCUUUGGAUGGGGAAUAACAACCGGAAACGGUUGCUAAUACCGCAUAAUGCAGCGGCACCUAAUGGUGACAGUUGUUAAAGCGGGGGAUCGCAAGACCUCGCGUCUAAAGAGGAGCCUGCGGCAGAUUAGCCAGUUGGUAAGGUAAUGGCUUACCAAGGCGAUGAUCUGUAGCCGGCCUGAGAGGGCGGUCGGCCACACUGACACUGACAUACGGGUCAGACUCCUACGGGAGGCAGCAGUCGGGAAUUUUGGGCAAUGGGCGAAAGCCUGACCCAGCAACGCCGCGUGAAGGAUGAAAUCCUUCGGGAUGUAAACUUCGCAAGAACGGGAAGAAUAAGUAAGAGCUAACAUCUCUUAUGAUGACGGUACUGUUUGUAAGCUCCGGCUAACUCCGUGCC
rnacentral:rRNA from 1 species